AUAAAAAUGACGUCAUCUGGCCCAGCGCUUUCGGCUGCAGAUCUUCACCGCCGCCAUUUGUGAUAUAAUACAGCCAAGCCUAAGUAUCUAAAAGAAUGAAAUGAGAGUGCUCCUGCAAUGCUUAUAUAGAUGGAAAUUUCAGAUUGGCUGCCUCUGUAUAAAUAUAGAACUACAGUAACAACGUAAGAAUGAACGUUUCAACAUACGAACCGUUUUGUGACAAACAUCUUGUCUUCUCGUUACAUCCAUUCUCGGAAGAUGACUUAAAUUUCAUGGAUGACUUGCUCCAGAUGAUGACAAC
rnacentral:lncRNA from 1 species